rnacentral:rRNA from 1 species
UACGUAGGGUGCGAGCGUUUGUCCGGAAUUACUGGGCGUAAAGAGCUCGUAGGUGGUUUGUCGCGUUGUCCGUGAAAACUCACAACUCAAUUGUGGGCGUGCGGGCGAUACGGGCAGACUGGAGUACUGCAGGGGAGACGUGGAAUUCCUGUGUAGCGGUGGAAUGCGCGAUAUCAAGGAGGAACACCGGUGGCGAAGGCGG